rnacentral:misc_RNA from 1 species
UUGAUUUAUUUUUGCUUUGUGCCACUCAGAGAGAAGACCGCUAAGAGCAAGAGUUUUGGUCCCCCGGCGGCGCCGCCGGAGCGGUCGCCGCCGAAGCAACGUCGGUAUGGUUCACAGUGGGUUUGGGAGUUGUAACACUCAAUAAUGAUCCCUCCGCUGGUUCACCAACGGAGA